UACAGAGGGGCAAGCGUUAUUCGGAAUUAUUGGGCGUAAAGGGCGCGUAGGCGGCUUGGCAAGUGGAAGGUGAAAUACCCGUCGGCUCCAACGUGAGGAACUGACCCUCCAAACUGCUUGCUUGAGGCCGGGAGAGGUAAGUGGAAUUCCCAGUGUAGCGGUGAAAUGCGUAGAUAUUGGGAGGAACACCAGUGGCGAAGGCGGCUUACUGGACCACAACUGACGCUGAUGCACGAAAGCUAGGGGAGCAAACAGG
rnacentral:rRNA from 1 species